rnacentral:rRNA from 1 species
UUUUGGACAAUGGGGGAAACCCUGAUCCAGCAAUCCCCCGUGUAUGAUGAUUGUCUUCGGGUUGUAAAGUACUUUUGUCAGAGAAGAAUAGGUAUCUCCUAAUACGAGAUACUGUUCACUGUACCUGCAGAUUAAGCACCGGCUAACUACCUGCCAUCAGCCGCGGUAAUACGUAGGGUGCAAGCGUUAAUCGGAAUUACUGGGCGUAAAGCGUGUGUAGGCAGUUAGGAAAGAAAGAUGUGAAAUCCCAGGGCUCAACCUUGGAACUGCAUUUUUAACUGCCGAGCUAGAGUAUGUCAGAGAGGGGUAGAAUUCCACGUGUAGCAGUGAAAUGCGUAGAUAUGUGGAGGAAUACCGAUGGCGAAGGCAGCCCCCUGGGAUAAUACUGACGCUCAGACACGAAAGCGUGGGGAGCAAAC